rnacentral:misc_RNA from 1 species
GAUGAAGAACGUAGCGAAAUGCGAUAAGUAGUGUGAAUUGCAGAAUUCAGUGAACCAUCGAAUCUUUGAACGCACAUUGCGCCCGGCAGUAAUCUGCCGGGCAUGCCUGUCCGAGCGUCAUUUCUACCCUCGAGCGAGUCCAGCAUCUAGGUGCUGGGCCUCGCCCGGCGUUGGAGCACUACGGGAAGCCCUGUGCUGUCCCCCGUAGGCCCCGAAAUGAAGUGGCGGUCCUGCCGCGGCGCCCCCUGCGUAGUAUAACAGCUCGCUUCGGGACCCGGUGGAGGCCUGCCGUCAAACCUAUACUCUCUAAGUUUGACCUCGGAUCAGGUAGGGUUACCCGCUGAACUUAAGCAUAUCAAUAAGCGGAGGA